AGAAAGUGAGUGUAAACUGCUACCGUCUGGCUUUACACAUAUUUUUCAGCUGGCAAAUGCCUAAGAAUAGACAAGGUGAUAAAGAUUCAAGGGGUAAAUUCAGAAGUUGUAAACAGUUUUAAUUGUGUUCAGUGGCACCCCUCUUAUACUAUGCCAGUUGAGCAGUGAUCUGGAUGUUGAUAGGUAAGACUGAAGAAUCUUGCUGCAAUCAUUCAAGGCUUCACACCCUGCUUUCUUCUCACCUCCCCAAAGGCUAUGCUCGCCAAAAAACUCAACAGAAGCUAACACUCCGAACAAAACAAUGUCCAGGACCUGAAGAGGAAAAGCACUGAACAGCCCUGCAAACACUGCAAGAUACCCAAUUUCUGAACAUGUGCACUCCAGUGAUUUUGAUCAGCUGUUCCCAAGCUUCACUCUUGAGGGGACCACCAUCAGAGACAGUGCUGACCUGUGGUAGGACCAUCUAUGCAAAACUAGAAGCUUCUUGUCAGGCCAGGAUCCUUUUACUACAUCUUCAAAUGUGUAGGAUUAUUUUAUGAACAUAUGCAGUAAACUCAGCUGCAGCGAGAACACAAUCCUAACACGGACAGAGAAUCUGAAAAACAAGGCUGCUAUAGAAAUAAAGGUAAGUCCUAAACUCAAAAUAAUUGUGUCUCUC